UGCCUACGGGAGGCUGCAGUCGAGAAUCUUCGGCAAUGGGCGCAAGCCUGACCGAGCGACGCCGCGUGUGGGAUGAAGGCCUUCGGGUUGUAAACCACUGUCAGAGGGGAUGAAAUGCAGGUGGGUUCUCCCAUCUGUUUGACAUAGCCUCAGAGGAAGGACGGGCUAAGUUCGUGCCAGCAGCCGCGGUAAGACGAACCGUCCAAACGUUAUUCGGAAUCACUGGGCUUAAAGGGUGCGUAGGCGGCGCGGAAAGUUGGGUGUGAAAUCCCUCGGCUCAACCGAGGAACUGCGCCCAAAACUACCGUGCUCGAGGGAGAUAGAGGUGAGCGGAACUUAGGGUGGAGCGGUGAAAUGCGUUGAUAUCCUAAGGAACACCGGUGGCGAAAGCGGCUCACUGGAUCUCUUCUGACGCUGAUGCACGAAAGCUAGGGUAGCGAACGGGAUUAGACCUGGUAGUC
rnacentral:rRNA from 1 species